AGUGAACGCUGGCGGUAGGCCUAACACAUGCAAGUCGAACGGAAGCACAGUAAGAGCUUGCUCUUACGGGUGGCGAGUGGCGGACGGGUGAGGAAUACAUCGGAAUCUACUUUUUCGUGGGGGAUAACGUAGGGAAACUUACGCUAAUACCGCAUACGACCUACGGGUGAAAGCAGGGGAUCUUCGCACCUUGCGCGAUUGAAUGAGCCGAUGUCGGAUUAGCUAGUUGGCGGGGUAAAGGCCCACCAAGGCGACGAUCCGUAGCUGGUCUGAGAGGAUGAUCAGCCACACUGGAACUGGGACACGGUCCAGACUCCUACGGGAGGCAGCAGUGGGGAAUAUUGGACAAUGGGCGCAAGCCUGAUCCAGCCAUACCGCGUGGGUGAAGAAGGCCUUCGGGUUGUAAAGCCCUUUUGUUGGGAAAGAAAAGCAGCAGGUUAAUACCCCGCUGUUCUGACGGUACCCAAAGAAUAAGCACCGGCUAACUUCGUG
rnacentral:rRNA from 1 species